rnacentral:lncRNA from 1 species
GUGUGUUUUCAAUUUGGACAUCUCCGAACUUCGUAUAUAUGUUACAGAUGCUGUCAACCAGUACCAGUUGUGGGCGGAGCUGUCCUUGGCUACACGGGGGCAAACCUCAUUAUUACUCCUGGUAUCAAACUGGAAAAUGAUAACCUCUAGACACUGGAGUCAAUUUACAGGCCUUCUGAGCCCUUGGCUGGUCUCUGAAACUUUCUUUGACAUCUUCUGAUACACCCAAACUUCCAGAAUAGGCCCCACUUUCCUCCUUUUGUGUGCAAGAGGAAAUUCUCGUGUGUGAUUCAUUUGACAAUCUCAGCUUCUUCUUUCUGGGGAAGUAACUCUACUUAGUAGUCAUCACCUCAAAGUGGCUAGCUGUUGGGCAAGAAGUUGCUAUUGCAUCCGCAUGUCUAGGAUUUAAUCUUCAGAGAAGAUGAUAUUCUAUCGCAGUGAAAUUCUGUCUUGCCCAAGGGGCUUUAGGCAUGGGAGGUGAGCCAAGCGCUGUCAAGGGGGAAGCUGACGCAGUCGAGGCUGGUUCUGGUUCUAGAGAACUGUGUUGCUGGUGCUUAGAGGAAUGGUGGAGACUAGAAGGUUUCUUCCUCCCUGCUUUCAAGCAAGUAGAGACUGUUCCAUCCUGAUUACAAGAGCAUCCAGCUUGACCCUGCUGAUCCUGAGUCAGCACUCUGCACUGCUCUGCUCUUUCCACACCAAAACUCUCUGUCUGGUCUCCACAUCCAGCGACAGUGCUGAACUUUUGCUUCAUACAACGUUUCGAGUAAGUAAAAGCACCCAUUACAUAGUUGGCACUCGCAUAUUUGCACCUUUUCUUUCAUAUGAGAUCCAAGGUUUCAUUUGUAGACUCUUUGUGCCCUCUCUCCAUGAUAUUUCAUACUGUCGACGUCCAGCUGGUUGAAUUUCUCUUCAGGUUUUCCGUGUUAUCUCUCUUAUAGAUUUCUGUGUUACUCUAACAUUCGUUUCCAUUACCAAGAUAACACUACAGGGCUGUCUUUUUGACCAUACAGGUGGACCUUGUUUUGUAGCGAUUUGCUUUGUUGUGCCUCUCAGGUAUUUUGUUUUUGACAAGUUAAAGGUUUCGGGCAACUAUGCAUUGGGCACAUCUAUUGGCACCGCUUUUCCGAGAGUGUUUGCUUACUUCGUGUCUCUGUGUCUCAUUUUGGUAACUCUCAAGGUAUUUUA